AUGGCGGCGAGCAAGGGCGCGAGGAAGAGCCUGGUGUCGAGGACCCUGGAGCGGUGCCGAUCCGGGCUGGCCAGCGGUGGCCGGUCGUCGGCGGCGGUGGCGCCCGGGUGCUUCUCGGUGUACGUUGGGCCGGAGCGGGAGCGGUUCGUGGUGCGCGCCGACCGCGCCAACCACCCGCUCUUCCGCCGCCUCCUCGACGACGCAGAGCAGGAGUACGGCUACGCGGCGCAGGGGCCGCUCGCGCUGCCCUGCUCCGUCGACGCCUUCCUCGACGUGCUCUGGCACAUGGACCACGACGUCCAGGACGACGACGAUGGCGAGGCCGCCGUGGCCCCGUCGACGCCCAUAUGCGGCCUGCAGCGCGCCGGCAGCGGGAACAUCAAGGUCCGGCCGGCGGGGUACCGGGUGCUCAGCCCGGCCAAGUCCACGCCGGCUUCCUUCUUCUUCUCGCAGACGGCGGCUGGCGGUAGGAGGUGA
rnacentral:rRNA from 1 species